GGUGGCGUGGCUCAAGUGGUAGAGCGCCUGCCCAGCAAGCAUGAAGUCCUGAGUUCAAACCCCAGCACCACCA